rnacentral:rRNA from 1 species
CCUACGGGUGGCUGCAGUGGGGAAUAUUGCACAAUGGGGGAAACCCUGAUGCAGCGACGCCGCGUGAGUGAAGAAGUAUUUCGGUAUGUAAAGCUCUAUCAGCAGGGAAGAAGAAAGAGGGAACUUAACUAAAAGGCCCCGGCUAAAUACGGGCCAGCAGCCGCGGUAAUACGUAGGGGGCAAGCGUUAUCCGAAUUUACUGGGUGUAAAGGGAGCGUAGACGGCUGUGCAAGUCUGAAGUGAAAGCCCAGGGCUCAACCCUGGGACUGCUUUGGAAAUUGUGGGGCUAGAGUGCAGGAGAGGUAAGUGGAAUUCCUAGUGUAGCGGUGAAAUGCGUAGAUAUUAGGAGGAACACCAGUGGCGAAGGCGGCUUACUGGACAGUAACUGACGUUGAGGCUCGAAAGCGUGGGGAGCAAACAGGAUUAGAUACCCCAGUAGUC